rnacentral:rRNA from 1 species
GACGAACGCUGGCGGCGUGCUUAACACAUGCAAGUCGAACGGACAGGCCCUGCUUUUGUGGGGUGCUUGAGUGGCGAACGGGUGAGAGAAACGUGAGUAAAAUGUCCUUGAAAUUGGGAUAACAUCAGGAAAAUGGGGCUAAUAUCGGAUAGGAGCUCCUGAAGCAUGGGGGGGGUUGGAAAGAUUCGGCGGUUGGGGAUGGAAUAGAGGCUUAUCAGCUUGAUGGUGGGGUAGUGGAGUACCAAGGCUAUGAAGGGUAGCCGGCCUGAGAGGGGGACCGGCCACAUUGGGACUGAGAUACGGCCCAGUCUCCUACGGGAGGCAGCAGUGGGGAAUAUUGCACAGCGGGCGGAAGCCUGAUGCAGCAACGCCGCGUGCGGGAUGACGUCCUUCUGGUUGUAAACCGCUUUCUCCGUUGACGAAGCGUGAGUGACGGUAAUUGGUAAAAAAGCACCGGCUAACUACGUG